CUCCGGCUGUACAGGCUUGCUGAGAGAUGUAGUUUGGGACAGCUGGGGCCACCUGGGUUGGGAAACACUGGUCCAGAGCGUCACUCAUCAGAUGUCCCGGCAGCCAGCGCUGCUCAUUGAGCCUGCCGGAGCAGCACUGAUCUGUGUAGAAACCUACGGGCCCAGGCUGUUGGGUGCCACAAAAUGACAUUACAUAUACUGAGUGUCCGCCAAUCAGAGAGCAGCACUGCCCACAUAGAACUCCCAGGAGGAGCAGCGUGUCACACAUGUGAUGUCAUAACCACUGUCCACCAGAGAGCAGCACUGAGCAGAAAUAACACGGCUCCUGCUCAUUCUUCAUCAGUGAGGGGCCCAUGCUGGACACUGUAGGGACCCGGGAAUGCAGAUUCAUACACAGGAUUGGUUAGUGUCGUUCCAUGUACAUUUCUAUAAUAAACAUGGAAAUUAUCUUUCUUUUCUUUUGUUUUUCUCUCUUAGAUGCAGUAUUUCCAGGAUGUGGAGUCGCAUUUCCGGACCUACAGCAAGAAGUUGGAUGAAGACAUAACCCCUGGAAUCACGCACAUACACAGACACUUUGCCCAAAUUCUAGAGGUAACCUCCUUUAGUAUGCCCAGAGGAAGGGUAGUACAGUAGCCAUGGAUUCCCUACAGGUUUCCUCCCCUCUGGAGGUUUUUCCUGUCCUGAGGUGUUACUGUCCGCUCUUUGUGAGUGAUGGGAGGUUACAUAAAAUCCCUACACAAACACUGUAAUAAAUAAUAAAUAAAGUUUCCCCUUUUUUAACUGUU